rnacentral:rRNA from 1 species
ACGUAGGGUGCGAGCGUUGCCCGGAUUUAUUGGGCGUAAAGGGCGCGUAGGCGGCUCGGCACGUCCGUUGUGAAAUCGCCCGGCUCAACUGGGCGGGGUCAGCGGAUACGGUCGAGCUUGAGCAAGCUAGGGGGCAAUGGAAUUCCCGGUGUAGUGGUGGAAUGCGUAGAUAUCGGGAGGAACACCAGUGGCGAAGGCGGUUGCCUGGAGCUUUGCUGACGCUGAUGCGCGAAAGCUAGGGGAGCAAACAGGA